GGUGGGGUUUUUUGGUCAGAAUUCCUUUGGGAGUGAGUGGGACUGGUCAAAAUGUGAUCAUUUUAUUUGAUUUCUAUUGUUCUUUUAAUAAUACAGUCACAAAGCAGCUUUACAGGGAUUAGUCAGAGUUCCUUUGCGAGAAGGCAGGAUUGGUCAGAAAUCCGUCUUGAGAGGUGGGAUUAAUCAGAAUUCCUUUAUGAGAGCAGGUGGGAUCAGUCAGAAUUCCUUUACGAGAGCAGGUGGAAUCAGUCAGAAUUCCUUUACGAGUGCAGGUGGGAUCAGUCAGGAUUCCUAUGGCAGAGCAGGUGGGAUCAGUCAGAAUUCCUUUGCGAGAGCAGGUGGGAUCAGUCAGAAUUCCUAUGGCAGAGCAGGUUGGAUCAGUCAGAAUUCCUUUGCGAGUACAGGUGGGAUCAGUCAGGAUUCCUAUGGCAGAGCAGGUGGGAUCAGUCAGAAUUCCUUUGCGAGAGCAGGUGGGAUCAGUCAGAAUUCCUUUGCGAGAGCAGGUGGGAUCAGUCAGAAUUCCUUUGCGAGAGCAGGUGGGAUCAGUCAGAAUUCCUUUGCGAGAGCAGGUGGGAUCAGUCAGAAUUCCUUUGCGAGAACAGGUGGGAUCAGUCAGAAUUCCUUUGCAAGAGCAGGCGGGAUCAGUCAGAAUUCCUUUGCGAGAGCAGGUGGGAUCAGUCAGAAUUCCUUUGCAAGAGCAGGCGGGAUCAGUCAGAAUUCCUUCAAGAGAACGUGGGAGCAGGAUUUAAAAAAAAGAAAGGAAAGAAACAACAGUUUAAUGCACACCUCUACACCAUAGUAACUCAUGCGGCGUGUUUUGUAUCAUUAUCCUGCAACAUGAAGUGACCUCAAGUUUAGAGUUUGUUUAUUAUUCGAUAUUUGGCCUUUUUAAUGGGGGAAGUCCUUAGAUCAUUUUUUGUGUAAUUUGAGAGUGUUUUUUUCAUUCUAGAACAUGAUGACCUGCUUUACUUUCACUUUUUAUUUUAUUUUUUUCCUGCUGCGGAUAAACAGCAACAGAACCCGGAUUCACGCGUCACUUCUAGAGUCUAGGUCUUGUUUUAAGCUCUGUUGUACACGAACAGACUGUACACUGACGCACAACUAGCCAAAAUACCACCACCAAACCAAAUGUACAUUUCCUUUUGAGUCUCCUGAAAUAAACUGAGUGUACCCUAUAUGACUUGUGAGGCUUCUAAUGAAUGAAUUUUUUUUUCUUUUCUUUUUUCCCCCUGUAGUCCUUCUCAUGUCUAGUGCUUCUAGGCUAACAAGCUACAUUCAAGUGUUUUCCAAGCACUAAACACACCUG
ensembl:lncRNA